AUAACCCUGCUGUGUACGUGUUGCGGCAUCCCGGUUUUGAGCCAACACCCACUUAUAGGGUUCCGAUCUUACGAGUGUGACGCGAUAGGCCUGAGCCAAGGCGGAGCGCUCGAGGAGGUACCCAACCUGCGAAGGCAGGUUCAAAACUUAGCAGCACACGGCACAGUGGGGUGAUC
rnacentral:other from 1 species